rnacentral:rRNA from 1 species
AUGAGUACACUUUGCUAGAAUUGUCGCGGAACGGGCAAACCGGCGACAAUUCGAGAACUUCGCGACUUCGCGAGGAAGUUUGCCCCUACCGUGCUUUGCAUUGUUGAAACACAAAUUAGUGGUGCAUGUGUAGAAGCUCUAGCAAGUACUCUAGGUUAUGAUAAAUCUUAUGUUGUCAGUAGUCAAGGGAGAAGUGGUGGAAUUGGUAUUUUUUGGAAUAAUAUAAGCAAUGUUGAGAUUUUGGGUGAUUCUUUCUAUCAUAUUGAUGCAAAAGUGCAUGUGGGACAAGAUCCUUGGAGGCUCACAGUCAUUUACCGGGAAGCACAAACUCAAAGUAGGCAUCAAACUUGGGAUGUGAUGAAGUGA